AUGGCUGCCCACUGCUCCGGGUGUGUGCUCACAGUGUGUGUGUGUGUUCACUGCUCUGUGUGUGUGCAUUUCGGAUGGGUUAAAUGCAGAGCACAUAUUCUGAGUAUGUUUCACUUUCACUUAAAGAUGUCAUUUCGCCAGUGUGUUUCUGGGUGCGGUCGAUAUAUCGCUCCUCGUGAUGGUCACGAUCGCUGUGUCAUGUGUCUGGGCUUCCAGCACGCUGAGGCUGCGUUCGUGGAUGGCUCAUGUUCUCAUUGUGGGGACAUGACCAUCUCGGCAUUGAGAUCGAGACUCGAUUAUCUUAAAAGGUAUAGAGUCCUCUCUGCUACACCCCGUUCUAGCUCUUCUUCUCGUAAGAGGGCUACUUCGGCUGGUGGCCAGGGUGAUCUGAGGGUUACCAUGUGGGCUUCCCCGACGAGCGAACCUCCUCGGGCCACACCCCCCUCACAUACACUGCAGCCGGUCGAGUUCCCGGAUGAGUUUGCUGGACCCUCUCUGGCUCCUGACAUCUCAUUCGGGGCUCGCGAAGAGGACCGUAUGUCGAUCGCCGCAUCACAAGGCGGGCUUGAGUCCUCGGGAGAUGAGGGUUCAGCUGUGUUGCCUCCCUCGGGAGUGCCAGCGUUGUCCGUGUCUGAUCCCGAGCUGACGGCCGUGCUUUCCCGGGCAGCGGAGAGCAUCGGGCUUGAGUGGAAUCCUCCACCCUGUCCCGAGCGCUCGAGGCUGGAUGAUUGGUUCCUGGGGGCUGCUCAUGCGGAUUGCCAGCACCCUCCUCUGGUUCCUUUCUUCCCGGAAGUGCACCAGGAAGUAACUAGUUCAUGGAAGGCACCUUUAACUGCCCGAAACCGUUCUGGUUCUUCCUCCGCCUUCACUGCCCUCGAUGGCGGGGCGGCCAAGGGGUAUGCUGGGAUUCCCCGGGUGGAGCGUUCUGUUGCGAUGCAACUGUGUUCACAGAGCGCCUCCGCUUGGCGUGGUGGUCCGAAGCUGCCCUCCAAGGCCUGUAAGUUCUCAUCCACACUUGUGGCCAAGGCUUACAGAGCUGCGGGCCAGGCCGCUUCUGCCCUGCAUGCCAUGGCCUCACUUCAGGUCUAUCAGGCCAAGCUGCUCCAGCAGCUGCACGAGGGCGGUGCUGACCCAGGGGUUUUUCAGGAGGCGCGCACUGCUACCGACCUCGCUCUCCGGGCUACGAAUGUCACUGCGCGCUCCUUGGGUCAGGUGAUGUCCACUUUGGUGGUCCAGGAGCACCACCUAUGGCUGAACCUGGCAGACAUGAGGGAGUCUGAUUGGGCUCAGCUCCUCAACUCCCCGGUCUCCCAGGAUGGCCUCUUCGGCGACGCGGUAGAGAGCUUUGACCAGCAGUCUGAGGCCAUCAGACACAUCUUGCCCCGGCGGCCCACUGCUGCUUCCACCCCGCCACCGGCGCAACCUCAGCCUGCUCGUCGCUGA
rnacentral:lncRNA from 1 species